rnacentral:ncRNA from 1 species
CAAAAGCCUGGUCCUGACUUUACUGUCUACCCUAACCAAGAUUAUACAUGCAAGUAUCCGCACCCCCGUGAGAAUGCCCUCAAAAUCUCGACCAGAAACGAGGGGCAGGCAUCAGGCACACCUACGUAGCCCAAGACGCCUUGCUUAGCCACACCCCCAAGGGAACUCAGCAGUAAUUAACAUUAGGCAAUAAGUGUAAACUUGACCUAACUACGGUUAAUAGGGCCGGUAAAACUCGUGCCAGCCACCGCGGCCAUACGAGUGUUAGCCCAAGUGGACAGUCAGCGGCGUAAAGCGUGGUUAGAGAAUUACCCCAACUAAAGCUGAAGUACCUCAAGGCUGUCGCACGCACCCGAGAAUAUUAAACCCAACCACGAAAGUAGCUUUAACUCAACUCGAACCCACGAAAGCUGAGGGACAAACCGGGAUUAGAUACCCCGCUAUGCUCAGCCGUAAACAUCAAUAGGCACCUUACUACGCCUAUUCGCCUGGGAACUACAAGCAUUAGCUUCAAACCCAAAGGACUUGGCGGUGCUUUAGACCCACCUAGAGGAGCCUGUCCUAGAACCGAUAACCCCCGUUCAACCUCACCACUUCUAGCCCAAUCCGCCUAUAUACCACCGUCGUCAGCUUACCCUGUGAAGGACAAAUAGUUAGCUAAAUUGGCACAGCCCAAAACGUCAGGUCGAGGUGUAGCGCACGAAGUGGUAAGAGAUGGGCUACAUUUUCUGACACAGAAAACUACGAAAGAAGAAAUGAAAAAGCUUCCGAAGGAGGAUUUAGCAGUAAUUAGGGAACAGAGCGCCCUGAUGAAGCCGGCCCUUAAGCGCGCACACACCGCCCGUCACUCUCCCCCAGUCUUCCUCAGCCAUAAACCUAUAACAUAAACCUGACAAAGAGGAGGCAAGUCGUAACAUGGUAAGUGCACCUGAAGGUGUACUUGGAAUAAC